AAGUCGUAACAAGGUUUCCGUAGGUGAACCUGCGGAAGGAUCAUUAACGAAUUAUUGUUAACUCAAUGAUUUACCGUGUGAACUAGCAAGGUUGCUCUGUUAUCGAACCGUGGUUCUUUGACGAGUGAUCUUUUACUUUAUUAUCUUUUGUUUUAUGUGAUUGUAACAAAUCAUUGACACAACUUUUAACAAUGGAUCUCUUGGCUCUU
rnacentral:misc_RNA from 1 species